rnacentral:rRNA from 1 species
GACGAACGCUGGCGGCGUGCUUAACACAUGCAAGUCGAACGAAGAGCGAUGGAAGCUUGCUUCUAUCAAUCUUAGUGGCGAACGGGUGAGUAACGCGUAAUCAACCUGCCCUUCAGAGGGGGACAACAGUUGGAAACGACUGCUAAUACCGCAUACGAUCUAACCUCGGCAUCGAGGAUGGAUGAAAGGUGGCCUCUAUUUAUAAGCUAUCACUGAAGGAGGGGAUUGCGUCUGAUUAGCUAGUUGGAGGGGUAACGGCCCACCAAGGCGAUGAUCAGUAGCCGGUCUGAGAGGAUGAACGGCCACAUUGGGACUGAGACACGGCCCAGACUUCUACGGGAGGCAGCAGUGGGGAAUCUUCCGCAAUAGACGAAAGUCUGACGGAGCAACGCCGCGUGAGUGAUGACGGCCUUCGGGUUGUAAAGCUCUGUUAAUCGGGACGAAAGGCCUUCUUGCGAAUAGUUAGAAGGAUUGACGGUACCGGAAUAGAAAGCCACGGCUAACUACGUG